rnacentral:lncRNA from 10 species
UCCAGACAAUUCAGUCUAUUGCUAAGGCUUCUCUCUACCCCACCUCCAUUGCAGUCUUUUCUUGGCUUUUUGCCAAUGAGUUCUUCAGAGAGGCAGUAGAUGGCAGUAGAGGCUUUUGAAUGAGGACUUUCAGGUUGCUUGGCUCACCUAAUUUCAUCCUCCCAUCCUGACACUGCUGGGAAUGCUGCUCUGGAAAGAUUCUCUGCUGCCUGCAGAGCUGACAGCUGCUGCCUGAAUCUACUCAUCUGUGAGCCACAAAGGGGCAAAGUUUAAAGGAACAGCACUUCUUAGCUGUUCACAGUUCUACGAGGGCAGGGCAGAACAGGACCAGCUGGUGCCUACAGUCCAGUUACUUCUUUGCUCUGUCCCUGGGGUCGGAUCUCACCUGUUUUUGAUCUUUGGCACAUUUUCCUGCAAUGAUGAACGAGUGAGGCGGGCUGGGAGUGAAUAAGGAGACUUUUAGGUGUUGCCUCAGCUUCUCAAAGUUUCUGGUGUUUAUGAAGAUCCAUAACAGCUGGCUGCAAACCCAACUCCUGAGAAUCAUUUCUGGGAGAAUGCCGAAGACUGCAUUUCAACUUCAAGAAUGGUGAGAAAAGUACAGUUGAAAAUCUCAUUUUAAUAACCUCGUAGUAAUAAUAAUGUCUGCCAUGUAUUGAAUGCCUUCCAAGUGCCAGAUGGUUAUGUUAGAGUUUUUUUUCACUUAAAUCUCAUGAUCAACCUGCCAGGGUCACAUUGUUACCCCUACUUUAGUGGUGAUUAGGAUCAGAAGUGGGGAGGUAGUUUGCCCAAGGUUUACAUAGCUAGGAAGUGACAGGGCUGGAAUUCUAACUAGGGUGAUCAACUCAUCCUGGCUUGGCUGGGGCUUUGCUGGUUUUAAGAUGGAAAGUUCCUUAUCGCAGCAACCACUUCAGUCUUGGGUAAGCCGAGAAGUUUGGCCAGCCUAGUAUCCAGGUCUGUUGGGUUCUUUCUGCUGUGCCCUGCAAACUGAGAAGCUCCCUUGACCCCUCUCUUGGCAGCAGUACAUGGUUUGGGCUCCCUGCCGCACCCCCUUAGGGACUUGCUAUGCUCCUCCCUAUCUGUCCCCAAGUGCCUGCUCUCUGGAACUGCUCUGAGCCUUGUCUCCUUCCAGCUGUUUCCUGGCCCCCUCAAUUGCCUGCUUUCUCUAAUGAUAGUUGCUCUUAUUUUCGUGUCAGGCCUUUUACCGUUUAUCCGUUUGGAGCUUCCCCCAAGCACCCAACCCACUGCUGGCUAUAAAGAUUUGGAGACCUGGGCUUGAGUUCCAGCUGAGCUGCCUUCUGGCUAUUCCCUGGGGAAGCCACCUCACCUCCCUAGAGCCUCUGCUUCCUCAUCCAAGACUGGGGGUAUAGCUGUGCUCACCCACUAACACUGCUGUAUUGUUUAACGUAAAGGCAAGAUGAGAACAUGGAGUUUCAACCUGAAAGGCAUUGAGCACGUUGGUUGUCAUUACUGUUGGGUGACUUCCUACUUUCCCUGCGUACCUCUGAAAGGAGAAGUGAGUUAGUGGCCAUGUGGACCCUGAUUUAGCAUGGGAGGUUUUGGCGUCUGCUAGCCUGGCUACCUAUCCAUUGUGUGUCUGCUUUUUUCAGAUUUAAAAAUAGGGUUCGUGAGUGCCCGACAAAUUAGUUGUGAAAUACUUAGUCUUUUAUCCUGGGUUGGCUUCAAGCUUGAAAAGCGGGUUGGAGCCAUGUGUCUUCAAGCUGGCCCAGGACACCCUGCCAGGAACACUGGCUUACUGUGCUGUGAAUAAGUAUUGGUGGCACAAAUGAAUGAAUGAAUGAAUGUGGCACAGAAAGUGCCGAAUGGGCGAUAGGGAGUACAUUUGAAUGGAAGGUAAAAUUGCUUUGGAAAGUUGAAAAUAUCUGAUGCAAACAAGCCAAUUUCUCACAAACCACUUCAACUAUUUCCUGGAACAAGGCAGCUUGUAAAGAAACACAUUACAUAUAUAAAUAAAUAGUACAAUCAUUUAUAUGAUUCCCUU